GGCCGUGUGGCGAAAUGGCAUCGCGUCUGACUACGAAAUCCUUGGGUUCAAAUCAGGAGAUUGCAGGUUCGACCCCUGUCUCGGUCA
rfam:Termitomyces sp. J132 unplaced genomic scaffold scaffold178, whole genome shotgun sequence.